rnacentral:tRNA from 1 species
GGCGAACAGUGGCGGAUCGGAGGUCAUUCCUUCACACGGAAGAGGUCGCUGGUUCGAACCCAGUAUCGCCC